AAAGUCGUAACAAGGUUUCCGUAGGUGAACCUGCGGAAGGAUCAUUAUCGUGGGGCUUCGGCCCCGUCGAGAUAGAACCCUUGCCUUUUGAGUACCGUCCGUUUCCUCGGCAGGUCCGCCUGCCAGGACACACAACAAACCCUUUUUUACCUGUAACAGUCUGAAAAACAAACAAAAAUUAAAACUUUCAACAACGGAUCUCUUGGUUCUG
rnacentral:misc_RNA from 1 species